rnacentral:tRNA from 1 species
CCGCGUAGCUCAGUUGGAAGAGCAUUGGGCUAGUAUUCCAAAGGUCGUGGGUUCGUUUCCCACCGUGG